rnacentral:lncRNA from 1 species
GGUUUAAGCACAGAGACCUCAGAGGCCACUGGGCCAUUUGCCCAGGGAUGUCCAGCCAGCGGCUUAGGGUGGCAGAGAUUCCUGGAAGACCGCCCCUCCCUGCACCCCAGGAACGCCUCCCUUUGCCGGGCAGCCCCUGCCCUGGAGUGAGUAUUGUUUUGCUCCUUUGGCAGAACUUCCUGGAUCAAGUUAAGAAAGUUCGUCUGGCUGCCAGAAGGUUUCUUGUGUGGAUUUAUUGAGCCCCCACUGAGCAGAGGCGUCGAGGCUGUGAGUUGUAAGACACUAACACUCAUUCAUUCAGUGGAUCCUUUUGAGCAUCCCCUCUGAUCCAGGUGCUGGAGAUACAGGGGCAAGGAGACCAACGAGGGAACAGUGACUCUCACAGAGGAGGUGCGCCGCUGCUUGAAGGUCUUCUCCGACGGCAUGGUGUGGGGAUCUGGGCCGCGGCGGCGACGACGCGAGGGUCCCGGCGGCUCCUGGGGGUGGCGGCUGCUGCGGCAGCGAAUCCGACUGUGGCCGUGUAAGGCUAUUUUUGCACAAUAACAACAGAGCUGAGUAGUUGUGGCAGAAACUGUAUAUGUUACAGCCACACACCAUCAUAUAUUUACUAUCUGUUCUUUUACAGAAAACAUCUGCUGACACCUGUUCUAUAGUACAUUAUUUUGGGGUCUUAUUCAAGCCUUUGGCAUGUAUUAGAGAAGAGUCAAGACUGUUUUUCAAGGGAAAUCUUGGCUUUAUUGAAAAGCACUCCUUCAACUUAACUCUAUGCCUAACUGGGGUGCCUUCUAUUAAGACACAAACCUCAGCUGGGUCUCUAAGACUCAGUUCCAGGAAGGCAGGCCCACCCUGCCUUUGAGUGAUUGUCAAAGUAAUAUGAUUUGCUUUGAAUUUUUACCCCUAAUUCUGUUUUUAAAGAUACUGAUCAUUUGAAUUAUGAAAGUCAUGUAUAUCUUUUGUAGCAAUUCAAACAAUAAAGAAUUAUCUAAAAUAAAGUUAAUAGCCGCUCCACUGCUCUCCAAUGCAACUCCCUGAUUCAUUCACUGCUAAGAAUUUGAUAUAAAUGUUUCCUUCCUGUUUUCUUCAUUUACAAAAACAUAUAGAAACUCCCUUUCAGAGUUUGACUUUUUUUCUU